rnacentral:lncRNA from 1 species
UAUAUGGAGAAAAUUAUCGAUAAUCGAUCCUAAUAACACAGAUCGAGGACCUCUCUUAGGAUUAACCAAACUUAGGACUUGUCUAUGUAUUAGGAUCCUCCACUGAUCCAUAAGACUUUUAGAGAGAGAAAAUUCAUGAAGAGAGAGAAAAUUCUAGAGAGAGAAAGUAGAGAGAGAAAGUGAAGAGAGAAACCUUCGUAUCCUUCCGAUGAGGCAGUCAUGAUCGAGAUCAUCAGAGGUCCUAUCAGGGUGACUCAAUAUGAAUCAAGUGUUACAAAUUUCGAAUAGGAUCGGACUGGGAUCAGAUCUACUGCAUGAAUUUCGGAGCAAUUUCGGAUUAUCUUAUUUUCAUCU